CUACGGGUUGCUCCAGUGAGGAAUAUUGCACAAUGGGGGGAACCCUGAUGCAGCAACGCCGCGUGGAGGAUGACGCAUUUCGGUGUGUAAACUCCUUUUAUAUGUCAAGAAAAUGACGGUAGCAUAUGAAUAAGCACCGGCUAACUCCGUGCCAGCAGCCGCGGUAAUACGGAGGGUGCAAGCGUUACUCGGAAUCACUGGGCGUAAAGGACGCGUAGGCGGGUUGGAAAGUCAGGUGUGAAAUCCUACAGCUUAACUAUAGGACUGCACUUGAAACUUCUAAUCUAGAGUAUGGGAGGGGGAGAUGGAAUUAGUGGUGUAGGGGUAAAAUCCGUAGAUAUCACUAGGAAUACCUAAAGCGAAGGCGAUCUCCUGGAACAUUACUGACGCUAAGGCGUGAAAGCGUGGGGAGCAAACAGGAUUAGAUACCCCUGUAGUC
rnacentral:rRNA from 1 species